UACAGAGGUCCCGAGCGUUGUUCGGAUUCACUGGGCGUAAAGGGUGCGUAGGCGGUUCUGCAAGUCUGAUGUGAAAUCUCCAGGCCCAACCUGGAAACUGCAUUAGAAACUACAGGGCUAGAGGCUUGGAGGGGGAACUGGAAUUCUCGGUGUAGCAGUGAAAUGCGUAGAUAUCUGGAGGAACACCGGUGGCGAAGGCGGCAUCCUGGACCGGUAUUGACGCUGAGGCGCGAAAGCCAGGGGAGCAAACGGG
rnacentral:rRNA from 1 species